rnacentral:rRNA from 1 species
UCCCAGACUCCUACGGGAGGCAGCAGUGAGGAAUAUUGGUCAAUGGGCUUACGCCUGAACCAGCCAAGUCGCGUGAGGGAAGACUGCCCUAUGGGUUGUAAACCUCUUUUGUCAGGGAGCAACGCCGGCUACGUGUAGCCGGACUGAGAGUACCUGAAGAAAAAGCAUCGGCUAACUCCGUGCCAGCAGCCGCGGUAAUACGGAGGAUGCGAGCGUUAUCCGGAUUUAUUGGGUUUAAAGGGUGCGUAGGCGGGCUGUUAAGUCAGCGGUCAAAUGUCGGGGCUCAACCCUGGAACUGCGUUUGAAACUGUUCUUCUUGAGUGAUGGAGAGGCAGGCGGAAUUCCGUGUGUAGCGGUGAAAUGCGUAGAUAUACGGAGGAACACCAGUGGCGAAGGCGGCCUGCUGGACAUUAACUGACGCUGAGGCGCGAAAGCGUGGGGAGCAAACAGGAUUAGAUACCCCGGUAC